UCCAGGAAAUAGAGAAAGGGCAAUAUCCCUUUCUAGGCUGAGCAUUUAGUGACCUGCCUCUUCUGUUUGGAACCCAACUCCCAGCAGGACACUAAGGUACCGGGAAUCAAACUCAUGACGUCGCGCUUGCCAGGAAAUAACCUGUAAUGAUGUGUUACAUCCCAAAAAAACUCUUGUAAGUUUUAUACGUUUUUCAUACAUCUCCAGAACGCAGUGAUAUUCUUUAACAAUACAAAACUGACAAAACUGAGACAUUUAGACUAAAGAAAGAAGUGCCAAAAAAUCUACAAAAGAAAAUCUGGAAAGGGGAGAAAUGGUAGCAAAUCAGAGAGGAAGUCUGUAUCAUGAAGUGGAAAGACAAAAAAUGUCUCC